UACGUAGGGGGCUAGCGUUGUCCGGAUUUAUUGGGCGUAAAGAGCUCGUAGGCGGCUAAGUAAGUCGGGUGUGAAAACUCCAGGCUCAACCUGGAGACGCCACCCGAUACUGCUUUGGCUAGAGUCCGGUAGGGGAGCAUGGAAUUCCUGGUGUAGCGGUGAAAUGCGCAGAUAUCAGGAGGAACACCAGUGGCGAAGGCGGUGCUCUGGGCCGGAACUGACGCUGAGGAGCGAAAGCGUGGGGAGCAAACAGG
rnacentral:rRNA from 1 species